UACGGAGGAUGCGAGCGUUAUCCGGAUUUAUUGGGUUUAAAGGGUGCGUAGGCGGAUCGUUAAGUCAGUGGUCAAAUUGAGGGGUUCAACCCCUUCCCGCCAUUGAAACUGGCGAUCUUGAGUGGAAGAGAAGUAUGCGGAAUGCGUGGUGUAGCGGUGAAAUGCAUAGAUAUCACGCAGAACCCCGAUUGCGAAGGCAGCAUGCCGGCUUCCUACUGACGCUGAAGCACGAAAGCGUGGGGAUCGAACAGG
rnacentral:rRNA from 1 species